GAUGAACGCUGGCGGCGUGCCUAAUACAUGCAAGUAGAACGCUGAAGGAGGAGCUUGCUCUUCUGGAUGAGUUGCGAACGGGUGAGUAACGCGUAGGUAACCUGCCUGGUAGCGGGGGAUAACUAUUGGAAACGAUAGCUAAUACCGCAUGACAACAGUUAUUGCAUGAUAACUGUUUAAAAGGGGCAACUGCUCCACUACCAGAUGGACCUGCGUUGUAUUAGCUAGUUGGUGAGGUAACGGCUCACCAAGGCGACGAUACAUAGCCGACCUGAGAGGGUGAUCGGCCACACUGGGACUGAGACACGGCCCAGACUCCUACGGGAGGCAGCAGUAGGGAAUCUUCGGCAAUGGACGGAAGUCUGACCGAGCAACGCCGCGGGAAUGAAGAAGGUUGUCGGAUCGUAAAGCUCUGUUGUAAGAGAAGAACGAGUGUGAGAGUGGAAAGUUCACACUGUGACGGUAUCUUACCAGAAAGGGACGGCUAACUACGUG
rnacentral:rRNA from 1 species